AGAAGUUAAGAAACUGUUUCUUAAUUUAUAACUAAAAAUGCUAAGAACCAGUUCUUAAAUAAGGACUUUAAGAAUCGGUUCUUAGCUUUUUUAGUUAAAAGUUAAGAAACAGUUUCUUAACUUCC
rfam:Brassica napus, WGS project CCCW01000000 data, contig: 12056